ACUCAAUAGAUACCCAGGUAGUCCUGGCAGUAAACGGUGCACGUUUGGUGUGGGCGCAAUCGACCGCGUCCGCGCCGUAGCUAACGCGUUAAGCGUGCCGCCUGGGAAGUACGGUCGCAAGAUUAAAACUCAAAGAAAUUGACGGGGACCCGCACAAGCGGUGGAGUAUGUGGCUUAAUUCGAUGCAACGCGAAGAACCUUACCUGGUCUUGACAUGCAUUGUGUCUCCGCUGAAAGGCGGAUAGGGUAGCAAUACCCGCUUUGCACAGGUGCUGCAUGGCUGUCGUCAGCUCGUGUCGUGAGAUGUUGGGUU
rnacentral:rRNA from 1 species